GGAGAGGUGGCAGAGCCCGGUUGAAUGCACCUGACUCGAAAUCAGGCAUAGUCGUAAGGCUAUCGGGGGUUCGAAUCCCUCCCUCUCCGCCA
rnacentral:tRNA from 3 species